CAGCCGCCGCGGGAAAACGAAGGGGGCUAGCGUUGUUCGGAUUUACUGGGCGUAAAGCGCACGUAGGCGGACUUUUAAGUCAGGGGUGAAAUCCCGGGGCUCAACCCCGGAACUGCCUUUGAUACUGGAAGUCUUGAGUAUGGUAGAGGUGAGUGGAAUUCCGAGUGUAGAGGUGAAAUUCGUAGAUAUUCGGAGGAACACCAGUGGCGAAGGCGGCUCACUGGACCAUUACUGACGCUGAGGUGCGAAAGCGUGGGGAGCAAACAGGAUUAGAUACCCCCGUAGUCCCUGUCUCUUAUAC
rnacentral:rRNA from 1 species